CGAGCGAGAAGCCGAAGAGGCUCCCGGGAUCCCCCGAUUUCCGGAUCACGUUCUCCUCACGGGUGUCCAGGUUGAAGGCUGCGCCCAGACGGGCCAGAAGCCCCGCGGACAGAGUCUCUCUCUAUACUCACUGGCUAUUCUGAAACUCACCUCAACAGAGAUCUGCCUGCUUCUGCCUCCCAAGUGCUGAUCAAAGGCAUGGACCACAAUGCCUGGCUAAAAAUUUAAAAUAAGAAAAGACAACAGCAGAAAACAGACGCAGAGAAAAAAGCUCUGAGGUCAUCUUAUGGAUGCCCCGAGGGUCAGCACCAGCCUGUUCUCUGAGGGGCUGGGUGAAGCGCUUCAUUCAGGCAAGUUUGAAAGAGUUUAAAUAAUGCGGCUCCCUCCCUCCACUUCCUUCAGCGAAUUUUAGUAUUCAUGGUGUAGAGCAAAGAUUUUUUUUUUUUUUUUUUUUUUUUUUUUUAACAAAAUGACAGCAGACAGUGAGUAGCUGGCUGUUGCUUUCAGGCCAGCAAGCUGCAGAUCCUGCUGUUGUUACAGUGUGACAGGGGACCGUGCUAAGAGGAGGCUCCCAGGAUGCUACAUAUCUGUGGCACUUUUAGGUUUCUGUGGAGUAGUAUAAAAUUUUAUUUUCUCUCUUUUUAUACUUUUUUUGGGGGGGAGGAGGGGGUGUUAUCUGUGUACAUGGGCAGGUGCAUGUGCGUGUGCACAGGUACGUGCAUGCACCUAGCGGCCAGAGGACAAUCUUGGCUGUCAUCCCUCUGGUACUGCCCACCUUGUUUUCUGAGGCAGGGUCUCUCACUUGGCCUAGAACUGUCCAAGUACGCUAGGUUGGCUCUGCUUCUCCAAAACUGAGGUUGCAAGCUCACACCACCAGAUAGGGCUCCCCCCACUCCCCCGACGUGGGUUCUGGGGGAUCGAACUCAGGUCCUCCUGCUUGCAAGGCAAACAUUUUACUGAGUUAUCACGCCAGCCUUGUUUUACUUCGUCAUGUGUCCUAGAGGGAAUCAUCAAGUAAGGCCAGCCCAGGCUUAUCUGAGGUUAUCCUUAAACCUUGCUGAGGGACACCCAAGCAGGGAAUCUACAGGUUGGCAAGAGGCUCUGCGUGACAUUUAGACGAUUGUCCACAUCAAAACAGGACCUCUUGGAGAGUUUCAUAUAAGGUAGAAGAAUGGCGGCUGGCAGGGGGCCCUGAGAUUCCUCGUGUAGAGCAAAGAUGCGAGUGAACAGGAGGCAUGAGUGCCCUUGCACUGGAGUCACUGACAGGAAAAACAAAAAACAAAACAAAACAAAACAAAACAAAAAGCAUGCGAGAUAGACUGUUCCACUGCUGGUGGGGGAUGCUGGGAGAAGACAAAGAAAAGUGAGAAGUCUGAGACCGUCUAAUGAGGGAGAGACGAAAUUGUCACUCAAGGGGAAUAACAAAAUAAGCCAUGGAGAAGUUCUGCAUGGUCCCACUUGGUAAUCCAUUUCCUGUUCUGCAAGAACCACGCAUCCUCCAUUCUGGGCUCUGGUGAGAUUUCGUAUGAUUCUUGUGUCAGCCAUCAACACAUGACGCAGCCUGAAAGAACCUCCAGGUCUGAUGAGCCAACCAGUCCUAGAAGGUGAACUAUACCCUUGACAUCACAUGCAUGGACUUGGACCACGUAGAGAGACACCUACGAGCAGGGAAGGUCUAGUGGAAAAUCUCCAAGAUGUAGAGUUUAAAAGUUCAGACUUCAAAAGCGCACACUUCUUCUUUGGUUAUCAGCCUGUAUUGGGGCAAUGGGCUGAUCUGCGUGAUGUUUCAUAUGUGGCAAAACCAUGAAGAGUCUAUUUCUCACCCUGGACAUAACUUGACCUUCGCAGACCCACUCCUCUGCCCACAGUUGGCUGCGUGACUGACAGAUGGCAGGCCAAGUGCAUGAGGAGAUAAGUAUUCCCCUUGGGCUGGGGCUGGGAGCGGCAGACUCAGUGUGCAGAAUUACACAAGUCCCAGAGUGAGUGGGGCUGGAGUCGUACAUGGCAGCCCUUCCUGGUGGCUCUUUAGAAGGCCCAGUGGCAGGAAUGCAUGCUUCGUCCAUAGCUGCAAAUUCCCAGGCUAUCCUUCACCAGCUCCUGCAUCUGCCAGUUAGCUAUGCCAUCCUCGAUGUACUUCUGAGAAGUAUUCCCAAGCUGGCCCUUCUCAAAAAUCACCAAAUUACCCUACUUACUCUUGGUUCCCUAGUCCCGUAACAGCCCAAGAGGGGACCCCCCCCCCCAUCGUGAUUAGGAAGCAUACAUCUUAGAGUCUCCUAAAGAAGCACCAGUGACCGUGAUUUCCACUCCUCUCUUCCCUUGGGAAUCUGGUUUUUCUUUUUGAUCAAAAGAAGUAGAGGAGGGUGUCGAGGGGGACGCACCCUUAGCAGUUUUCUGUAACAAUCACCAUCACCGAAAUAAACUGCCUAGGGAAGACAGCAGGAUCGCUUCGAAAGCAAAUGUGUAACCUCCUACUCGGUUUGAUGAUAUGUAGUCAGAGAGAAUGGCAAGGUCAUUUGUUGGUUGAGCCCUUAAGUCCCAAGUUCUGUAUUCAUAGCAGGUACCCCUUUAUGAUAGUAGAAAGUUGGCUAGCCACAGUGCAUAAUAUAGGGGGAGAUAGUUCAGGAUUGUCUUUCAGUUGAGACUUCUAGAAUAAGCAAUUUUACAGGUUUCCUGGAAUUUCUAGACAAAAAGUAUAUGGGGCAAAAAGAAGUACCCCUCAUCUCCUGAACCUCGAAGAUUCCUGCCAUUGUUCUUUGGCUAAAAUUUGAAUUUCUUAAACUCUACAUAUAAGUUUUGUUCCCGAACUGUGGUCAUGUGUUCAAGAUGGCCCGUGACUCAGACCCUACGUGUGGAGGCUUUCUGUUGCCUGAGGAUGCUGGAUGGAGUAGAAACCUACAAGUGGCAUCCGGAAAGCUACAUCGGAAGGAGAAGCAGAUGCGAAGGUAUUAGGUCCCCUCAGGCUUGCUUCACAGAAUUUGUGUGUGACUGACUUGCCUGCGUCUCAAAAGCAAAGCCAAAAUCUACGGGAAUGUCUGUAAGUUACAGGGACACCCCUUGGCUCUGAAAAACAGGGAAGGAGAAAAGGUGCUGUGUUCUAAGAGAAUAAAGCCCAGGAGAACCGCCAGCUAACCCAAAGGAAUCCUUGGCUGCAGUUACCCCUCCCUCCCCACCUCAUGAAACAAAACAACGAGGUGCUAGCGGACAGGUGAACCUCUGUAAGUUUGAGGCCAGUCUGCUCUAUAUAAUGAGUUCCAGGCCAGCCAUGGAUACUUAGUGAGGUCUUACCUCCAGAAAAAUGAAAAGGAAGUAAGAAAGGGAAAGUGAGAUGCUUUUGCCUGUGGCCGUGAAGCUGGAGCUUGGGAAGCUAGUAUCUAGUGCUGUGAUUUGGGGUGAACACCCCGUUAUCUCCACCCCCACCUCUGCUGCACUUGUUCGCCAUGGGCUCUGCAAGGCGAGGUUUUCCACCCUUGCAGCUCCGUCCCUAGGCUUGCUGCCUCCCAGUUUUGCAAAACAGUGUCUCAGAUCCCCGGCUCCCUCCCAGUCCUAUUAGGAUUCGACGAGGAUUUAAAACAAAGCUUGGCAUUCACCGGAAGCCCGGCCUUCCAUUCUCUCUCCCGAUUGCUAUGUUAAUGAAUCCGUUGGAUGUCACUGUGACCUACAAGCUCCAACACUGCGAGUGAGUCCUGCAUCUAAGCUCCUAAUGCAUCCCUCUAAGAAGAAAAUAAAGGACCUGGGAAGACCUAGGGGGAUUAGAGGACUUGGGAUACCUUCUAAAACCCAGAUCAUACCAUGAGAAGAUGGGACGGAUCACAACCAUCCUUGUCAUUUAGAGUGAGGAACGGCUGGGUGGGCGGUUCUGCAUCACAAAGAUUGCUGAAAUCCAGGCGGCUGAAGAGGAAGUGAGAGACCACGGCAGUGUGACCUCAGUGACAGAAAAGUCGUGUCACAUUGCUGGAACAGUUUAUGGCAAAGAAGCUCCAAGAUUACAGUUCUAGGAUGAGGGGACCUCUGAGGACAUGAGACAGGACACCACAGCAACUAGCAACAGUUCUUGUGACGUUCCCAUGACACGGAUCCUUUGUUUUUAAGCAGGGACCUAGUGACCCGGCCUCACUGUCUCCCGCUGACCUCCUGAUCCCUGGCCACAGCCUACAGAGGUAGUUCAGUCUGCCACAAGGCAAUCGUCUGCCGAGUCCCAUCGACCGAGUCUGUUGCAGCGCCCAACAGGAAGACUUUUCUGGACCACAGGAAGACAGGGGAGCAGGGAACCUGGAUGCAAGAACACAUUUGCAGAGGCAGCUGUUCAGACCACAGGUGUCAAGUAGCAGAGAGGAGACUCAGAUGACCGAGCCGUGUUUCCAGAGGGCAUCUGAGGCAGCAGGGGGUCCUGCUUGCGAGCCAUUCACGGAAGUUAUGCUCCGCCAGUCAAGGGACUCUUUCCUCACUUCCAGAGACAGGCACUUUACUCUAGGAAAGUACGACCUCCCUCAAGCAGGCUUUGCCCGCAGGUUGCUCCCUUGUGAUCAGUGAUGGGAGAAUCUCUAGGGUGUUUACGUUAGAAAGGCUGACCUUCCCAUCUCAGGCAUUUGCCUGUCACCUUUGGAUUGCCAACAUCCUUCCAGCAUGUUCAUGGGACAACAUGGAAACCAAACACAAAAGGAAAACUCUGGACUCGGGGAAAAGCUGGGAGGAAGGAGCCAAGCUUCCUACUAAGAACAUGCUGAAGUUGGUAGAUAAUUUUUCAGGUAUUUGGUCCAAGUGCCCGAACUAGACAGAGGGUAAUUUAUUUCUUCAAAAUUCAUACCUUAAUAUUCGCUUUUGUUUUAUCCCCUGAAUGAAUUUCAUUCAAAGUCAUUUACUUAUUGCAAUGAAAGAUUCAAGCUCAAAGAUAUUUAAUUAUGCCCAAUCUUGAUCCCAUUAAGCAGAUUAAAAGUCUUAACAUAUUAGCUGGCCCCUGUACAGCUAGUCCCGUAGAUGUGCAUGUUCAAUUGCACUUCGCAAAAAGCAAGAAAUUACAUCAGUCUUAAAACAGUAUUUAUUCAGGAUUUGGUUCCAUUCUGAGCUUAUACUUGGCUUAAUUGUACUCAGCAAGGGAAUAAUAUUACAGUGACAGCCACUGAAUUCAUAAAUACAUUUCGGUUAGCAAGAAAGGCUGAAAGAGUCAACCAGUGUAAAUUAUCCUUGGCUACUGAUCAAUUACUCUUUCAAGGACUUGGGGAAUUGUUAAGUCUUCUGGUUCAGCACCAGCAGUGUUCUUCAAUGUGGAGCUGAAUGAAAGGAAAGCAUAGCACACCUCCAUGGAUGAGCCUCUCAUAAUAUGGAACUCCUUAAAGGAGAGCACAAAAAAAAUCUAAGUACUGUGAUGUCUGCUGAUGAUACUUUACUUACCACACAAGGCAGGCAGAUACAUAUCUUGGAAGGAGGUUGUAAUUAUGAAUGAUGUAUAUAAUACAAUAUUUUGAUGCAUGACCAAGUUUUCCUUGAUGUGUUGUGCUGAGACAGAUAGUAAAGGUAAAGCCAUCUGUGUUUAAAAAUAUGCAAGAGGUACAUCAGGGCCUGUGCAUGCAUGUAUGUGUGUACAGUGUGGUAUGCUGGUAAAUGUUUAACAACCAAAGCUAGGGAAUAAAAGGCCUUGUUGUAGUGCUUGCCAAUUUCCGCAAUGAUGUAAAUAGUCCUACCAUGGUCACUUUUAAGCUACCAAUGUGGAUUCACUGAAUAUAGAGCUGAGGAGAGAAGUAUAGGCAUAGCAUAACAUAUUAUAAAGGAUUCCCAGCACACAGAUCUCACAGAUGCAAAUUAUUAUGAAGGAAUAAAUUUCGGUAAUUUAUUUUA